rnacentral:rRNA from 1 species
UACAGAGGUCUCAAGCGUUGUUCGGAUUCAUUGGGCGUAAAGGGUGCGUAGGCGGCGCGGUAAGUCGGGUGUGAAAUCUCGGGGCUUAACUCCGAAACUGCAUUCGAUACUGCCGUGCUUUGAGGACUGGAGAGGAGACUGGAAUUUUACGGUGUAGCGGUGAAAAUGCGUAGAUAUCGUAAGGAAGACCAGUGGCGAAGGCGGGGUCUCUGGACAGUUUCC